rnacentral:rRNA from 1 species
UGAGAGUAGUACAUCGAUGGGUGACCCCUUGGGAAGUCUUAACACUUUGGUGUGAUCAUACUAGCACUAAUGCACCGGAUCCCGUCAGAACUCCAA